GAGCGGCGAACGGGUGAGUAACACGUGAGUAACCUGCCCUGGACUUUGGGAUAACCCUCGGAAACGGGGGCUAAUACCGAAUACGACCUACAGNCUGCAUGACNUGGGNGUGGAAAGUUUUUCGGUCUGGGAUGGGCUCGCGGCCUAUCAGCUUGUUGGUGGGGUGAUGGCCUACCAAGGCGACGACGGGUAGCCGGCCUGAGAGGGCGACCGGCCACACUGGGACUGAGACACGGCCCAGACUCCUACGGGAGGCAGCAGUGGGGAAUAUUGCACAAUGGGCGGAAGCCUGAUGCAGCGACGCCGCGUGAGGGAUGACGGCCUUCGGGUUGUAAACCUCUUUCAGCAGGGACGAAGCGAGAGUGACGGUACCUGCAGAAGAAGCGCCGGCCAACUACGUGCCAGCAGCCGCGGUAAGACGUAGGGCGCGAGCGUUGUCCGGAUUUAUUGGGCGUAAAAGAGCUCGUAGGCGGCUUGUCGCGUCGUUCGUGAAAACCUNGGGGCUCAACCCCAGGCUUGCGGGCGAUACGGGCAGGCUAGAGUUCGGUAGGGNAGACUGGAAUUCCU
rnacentral:rRNA from 1 species